rnacentral:rRNA from 1 species
GACGAACGCUGGCGGCGUGCUUAACACAUGCAAGUCGAACGGUGAAGGGACCGGUUUUUGCUGGUUCUGGCUGAGUGGCGAGCGGGUGAGUAACACGUGAGUAACCUGCCCCCUUCUUCUGGAUAACCGCAUGAAAGUGUGGCUAAUACGGUAUAUUCUGCGCCUGCUGCAUGGGGGGGGUGGGAAAGAUAUUGUUUCGGUGGGGGAGGGGCUCGCGGCCUAUCAGCUUGUUGGUGGGGUGAUGGCCUACCAGGGCGUUGGCGAGUAGCCGGCAUGGGAGGGUGGACGGCACUAGGGCGGCUGCGCCGCGGCGACGACUCCUGCGGGAGGCAGCAGGGGGGAAUAGUGAACAGUGGGAGCAAGCCUGAUGCAGCGACGCCGCGUGAGGGAUGGAGGCCUUCGGGUUGUAAACCUCUUUCGCCAGUGAAGCAGGCCUGUCCCUUUUGUGGGUGGGUUGACGGUAGCUGGAGAAGAAGCGCCGGCUAACUACGUG